rnacentral:lncRNA from 1 species
CAUCUUCCGAUGCUUCCACGAGCUGAUGCACCUCGUCGACUCCAUCCUCGUCCACAUCAUCCUCUAUGAGCCCACCUCCUCAUCGUCCUUCCUGCCGGUUGUGCUCCUCUUCGACCAGAUCUAAGCCAGCAACGCUCUUCUCUAAUCAGGUCUAGGUGGUGACUGGAUCUAGGCUCUUCUUCUGGUGUGGCGCAUGAGGGCUGGCCUCCUCCUUUGGCAUGGCUGUGUGUGGCCUCAUGGCGCCUGAAUCCAUGGCAUGGCCUCUCUCUCCCUCACCGAUGCUCGUAUCCACAGUGAUGAUGACAAUGGCACCUUGAUCCAUGGUUUUUUUGUUUUUUGUUCUUUUAUUUGAUUAACCGAGGCGGGCAUCCAAACUGACUCGGUCAAUGUUUGACUUACUAUGACCAUUAGUCCAAGCGAUUGUGAUGCCCACCUUGGUAAAUUCAUUUUGCCCGCCUCAAAAAAGUUUUUUAGUAGUAGUGAACUAGAAAGAAGGAUGUCUAGCCCUAGGCGGAGGGCCUCCCCCUCCCCUCACCAUAUAUCGAGUAGACAGGCUCAUCCCUCAUGAGGGCAUAGCUCCUCAGUUUGUUCCAAGUACAAGGGUAGGUUGUGGGUUGGUGCAGAGGUGUUGAGGGGCUUGAGGCAAACACAAUCACUAAGGCGGGUGCCCCAGUGAUAAGCAUGUGGCUUGUAGCACGAGUGUUCUUGAGGUAGGCGAUGCGGUGAGCGUGUAAGGGCAGGCAUAAUGAGCAUGCUAAUGGGGGUAGUUGUGCUAAGAACUAAGCUCAAGCAGGUAGCUUUGUAGGGGUAGCUUUGACAGGUGGGGUAGGAAGGCAGGCCCCAUGUACAAUGGUGUACAGAGGAUUUGGGAGGAAGAAAAUAUGUGGUCGAGAGAUUGUGAGUAGACCCCAUGUUUCACGGUUACAAUGUCGAAAUUGUGUUCAUCCCGUUCAUCUCUAUCAGUACAACCGAAGAAAAAAAUAAGAACGGACUAUCCUUUUCAACCAAACGUAUAAUGGGACCAUCACAUCCCACAU